UACGUAGGGAGCUAGCGUUGUCCGGAAUCAUUGGGCGUAAAGCGCGUGUAGGCGGCGCGGUAAGUCGGGUGUGAAAUCUUGGAGCUUAACUCCGAAACUGCAUUCGAUACUGCCGUGCUUGAGGACUGGAGAGGAGACUGGAAUUUACGGUGUAGCGGUGAAAUGCGUAGAUAUCGUAAGGAAGACCAGUGGCGAAGGCGGGUCUCUGGACAGUUCCUGACGCUGAGGCACGAAGGCCAGGGGAGCAAACGGG
rnacentral:rRNA from 1 species